rnacentral:tRNA from 1 species
GCCUCCCUAGCUCAGCGGUAGAGCAGCUCAUUCGUAAUGAGCAGGUCGCCGGUUCAAAUCCGGCGGGAGGCUCCA